AUCUUGUCAAUCUGGAUCGUUGACUUCAAAUAUAUAAAGGAAGCCCCAUUCCAAGUUAGAGCUCGAGACCCGUUUUCCCGAACCUGCGACCCGCGCCAGCGACCCGACUGCAUCUCCGCUUUCCGGCCACGACAAGGCGGCGCACCGGCCAAGUUCGACUCCUCUAUUCACCGUGCCACCGUGGUUCUGCCUGUUGUCUUGGAUCGUCCAUGCAUGAAGUGAGAAGAGAGAAUGGAAGCCCAAAAGCUUCGGUGUUUCCGGCGCGUUUUCCGGCGACUUCGGUGACCAUUGACGAUGCAUGAGGUAUGAAACUUGAUCACCUCAUCACGCUCUACAUGCUAGUAUAACUUGUUUUCGAAUUUGAUUAAGUUUGUGAGAACUUGGUUUUUGGGUGUUUUCGGGUACGACGGAUCCACCGUUCCCGGCAGCCAUUCUCAGGCUUCCGGUGUUCCUUGCUUUUUCUUCGACAUCCUGGAACACGAAUUGAUCUCUAGUCAAGCUCGGUUUAUUGAAUGGGUUGAAUUGGAGAAUCAGAAGUGGCAACUCGGAUGGUAAUGGAGUGCGUUGAGUUCUGUGGAAGUAUCGAGAACUAGAGUGGGAGUUAAAUGUAAUUAUAGUCGGCAACUCUGCAUCUAUAUCCACUAUAGGGACUCCAGUUACCUGAAAUGUGAAACGUGGUGGUGUUGGCCUAGGAAAGCGAAUGGGUUCAGAGCUGCAAUAUUCCAGGUAGGGGAUUCUGGACUCGCUUCAGUUAGAAAUUUUUAUGCAUGGAUUUUAUGGAAAUUAAUGAUGCAUGAAAAACAAUUUGGUUUUUAUUUCAUUUUCUAUGAGCUAUUGUUUGAUGACCUGAGAGUGAGAGGAGCAUAGCGACUUCCUUGGGCUUCGAUCCCCUAAACCUCCGGAGGGGCUAUAUGGACUGAAGAGUGUCUGACAUCCUUUGAGGUGUGGCACUGCUUCUAGGUGAUACGGCAUAAGUGGACACUCUCACUACACCUUGCCGGUGUAAACGAUAUUAAUCGUGGUAAGGUUGUAGUUGGCAUAGCGAUCGGUCAUCAGGUCUGUUUCAUUCUUCUAGGCCCUACUGUACUUUUAUAAACGAACUAUGGUUUGUGGUUUCGAACAUCUUUAUCUAUAUACAUUGUUUUCUCACUUACUAUGUCGGCACCAUUGUUUAAUUGUUUUUACACCUAGCUGGGGUAGAGUCUAUUUGAGCAGCGAGGACGAAAGCUCACCCCUAUAACAGUUUGUGGAUGCAGGUACUGUGUAUGAAGACGGGAUAGCUGGGCGACGCUGGGUGUGGCUUAGUUACAUUAUAUUUCAAAUUAAGUCAUCGACGGAGUUAGAUCCGCAUGACAGGUUUUCUUAUUUCCUUUACUCCUUCACAAUUCGUUUAUCGAGUUUGUAAUUGUUCGUAAAGUACCCCUCUUGUAAAUUUUUCGGGUAGUGAUCUUGAACAGGACUAAUAUUCGAUAAUUGUU